rnacentral:rRNA from 1 species
UACAGAGACUGCAAGCGUUAUUCGGAUUCACUGGGCGUAAAGGGUGCGCAGGCGGCCGUGUGUGUGAGGCGUGAAAGCCCGGGGCUUAACCCCGGAAUUGCACCUCAAACUACAUGGCUAGAGCAUUGGAGAGGGUAGCAGAAUUCAUGGUGUAGCAGUGAAAUGCGUAGAGAUUGGGAAGAACACCGGUGGCGAAAGCGCUCUGCUGGGCCGCAACUGACACUAAUGGACGAAAGCUAGGGGAGCGAAUGGG